GAUGAACGCUAGCGGCAGGCCUAAUACAUGCAAGUCGAACGGUGUCUUCGGACAUAGUGGCGCACGGGUGCGUAACACGUAUGCAACCUACCUUACAUUGGGGGAUAGCCUUUCGAAAGGGAGAUUAAUACCGCAUAAGACAGUAGCUGGGCAUCCAGUAGCUGUUAAAGAUUUAUCGAUGUAAGCUGGGCAUGCGUCCAAUUAGUUAGUUGGUGAGGUAACGGCUAACCAAGACGAUGAUUGGUAGGGGAACUGAGAGGUCAAUCCCCCACACUGGCACUGAGAUACGGGCCAGACUCCUACGGGAGGCAGCAGUAGGGAAUAUUGGGCAAUGGACGCAAGUCUGACCCAGCCAUGCCGCGUGCAGGAAGAAGGCGUUCUGCGUUGUAAACUGCUUUUAUAUAGGAAGAAACGACCCUUGCGAGGGGCAUUGACGGUAUUAUAUGAAUAAGCACCGGCUAACUCCGUGCCAGCAGCCGCGGUAAUAC
rnacentral:rRNA from 1 species